CCAAUAUCUUCAUUUCCUUAUAUCAACAAUUUUGAGUUUUUAUUAUUUUUCUAUGCUUUUAAUCUCAGUUUUUUUUUCUUUUUUUAACCUCAUUAACUUAGCAACUCUUCGUUUUGGACCUCUUCCUAGGGUUUAAGGGGGAAGGAUAUGGGGUUUCCUAGGAUGAGGUGCGUAUAUACAAACUUACUAAUUUUGUUGAAUUUAUGCCCGUUUUGUAAUCUCUUACUGGGUUAUUGCUACAGUGAUGAUAAUGUUAUAGUGGCCUCUGAUGUGUCGGUAGAAGGGAGUAAUUGCGGCUGGUCCGUUGUUUGAGCCCUGUUUCAUAUUGGUAUAGACAACACGAUUAUAUAACCUGUUAAAACAUGAUAACUUACAGUGGCGAACCUUGACAAUGAAGAUGGGGGUAAAAAACGUAUAUAUCCAAAAAUUUCUAUAGAACCAGGGGGUCGAAAACGUAUAUACCUAAAAAUUUCUAUAUGAAAACUACAUAUAUAACACUUCAACAUUUUAAGUCCUCGCAAUCCACGAUGUUGAAGAUCAUUAAAUCGCAACUAAUCCAUUGAAUAAGCAUAAUUAAUUUGAAUCGUCCAUCAAUAAACAAAAUCCCUUUAUAUACGCAUUUGAAAUUUGAUUAGAUGUUCUCAAAUAAUAUGAUGUACCAGGUUCUUAGGCAUUAUGUGUAAACAAACCAUGGUCAACUUUCAAAUUGGAUGUGUUUCUUUUUUAACUAUCUUAUUAUUUAACAUUUUAACCCAUUUGAUUGCAUCACGAUUUCCUUCAACUUUUGAAAUAGUGAUUUAAAUCAACAGGUUAUUGGAAGAUCUCUUGAUGGGCUUUCAACUGAAUCCGGUUUUGAUCUUCAAAAAAGUUUUGGAACCUGGCACUUAAGGAAUAGAAUGAAAAUAAUGAAUGCGUUGAUUUUUUCAAAAAGUGACCCAUUUGGAAACCAUUGUAAAUUAUAGUUGAUAUAAUAAUACUAACUUACAUGUAAUUUUAGUUUUAAAUAUUUUAUUUACCAUUGUGGUAGGUUGUGUUUAUGUGAAGCAUGAAACAAAAGUGUAUGGGGGCUUCAGGUAUGCUUUUUUUUUUUUACUUUAUGGUAGGUAUAUGUUUGACUAUAAUCUAAAAUCACAACUAAUUUGACCAUCAUAUGAUAUGCAUGAUACUAUUUUGCUUGGCAAAGAGUAUUUGCAUGAGACUUUUCAUAUAAAAGAAGGCGAGUUUUUGACUUUUGAUGUGUUAUGUUCGCUCUUCUAUUCAUUUUUUGAGUUGCAAAGAUAAUUUAUGAUUUCUUCAUUUAAAUUCUAAACUGGGGGCAUUUAGGCUUAUUUAACAGUUGGCGCUCCUAAUUAUAUUGCUCCAAUGGUUACGAUUUAGAAGUUAUUCAUAGGGAAGGUUCCAAGUUAAAAAAAAAAUUUGCAAUCGCAUGACCAUUGUGCUAUUUGGUGUUGCGGGUACUGCGAUAUCCUUCACCAUCAUUUAAUUCGGUAUGUUGAAAGUUUAUCAUAUACGUUUUUUCGUUUGCUUUUGCUGUAUAUCCUAUGGUGUUCUGGUUUAUGCGUUGAAUCCGAUAUUAGAUGUAGAAUGUGACAACCCUCAAAAUUUCCAUGUAUUCCGUACAAUUUAUUAAUAAUAAUUAAAGUGCUUGAUGAA